CGGGGGGCAGCAGUGGGGAAUAUUGCACAAUGGGCGCAAGCCUGAUGCAGCGACGCCGCGUGGGGGAUGACGGCCUUCGGGUUGUAAACCUCUUUCAGCUCUGACGAAGCGCAAGUGACGGUAGGAGCAGAAGAAGGACCGGCCAACUACGUGCCAGCAGCCGCGGUAAUACGUAGGGUCCGAGCGUUGUCCGGAAUUACUGGGCGUAAAGAGCUCGUAGGUGGUUUGUCGCGUUGUUCGUGAAAUCUCACAACUCAAUUGUGAGCGUGCGGGCGAUACGGGCAGACUGGAGUACUGCAGGGGAGACUGGAAUUCCUGGUGUAGCGGUGGAAUGCGCAGAUAUCAGGAGGAACACCGGUGGCGAAGGCGGGUCUCUGGGCAGUAACUGACGCUGAGGAGCGAAAGCGUGGGGAGCAAACAGGAUUAGAUACCCGAGU
rnacentral:rRNA from 1 species